UAGUGAUUAACGCGAAGAACCUUACCUGGGCUUGACAUGUGCGGAAAUCCUACGAAAGUAGGCUCCGGGGCAACCCGGCCGCAACACAGGUGCUGCAUGGCUGUCGUCAGCUCGUGCCGUGAGGUGUUGGGUUAAGUCCCGCAACGAGCGCAACCCUUGUCGUGUGUUGGUCCACAAGAUCUCUCACACGAGACCGCCGGUGAGAAGCCGGAGGAAGGUGGGGAUGACGUCAAGUCAGCAUGGCCCUUACGUCCAGGGCUACACACGUGCUACAAUGCGCGCGACAACGAGCUGCGAACCCGCGAGGGCAAGCCAAUCUCAUAAACGCGCGCUCAGUUCGGAUUGAAGGCUGCAACUCGCCUUCAUGAAGUCGGAAUCGCUAGUAAACGCAGAUCAGCUACGCUGCGUUGAAUACGUUCCCGGGCCUUGUCACACCGAAUCGAAUUC
rnacentral:rRNA from 1 species